GAUGAAGAACGUAGCGAAAUGCGAUACGUAGUGUGAAUUGCAGAAUUCAGUGAAUCAUCGAAUCUUUGAACGCACAUUGCACCUCUCGGUAUUCCGGGAGGUAUGCCUGUUCGAGCGUCAUUUGUACCCUCAAGCUCUGCUUGGUGUUGGGUGUUUGUUCCGCCUCUGUGUGUGAACUCGCCUCAAAACAAUUGGCAGCCGGCGUACUUGUUUCGGAGCGCAGCACAUUUUGCGAUCCAGAUCAACGUACAGCGGCAUCCAAGAAGCCUUAUUUAACGCUCUUGACCUCGGAUCAGGUAGGGAUACCCGCUGAACUUAAGCAUCUCAAUAAGCGGAGGA
rnacentral:misc_RNA from 1 species